rnacentral:rRNA from 1 species
GGACUACACGGGUAUCUAAUCCUGUUCGCUCCCCACGCUUUCGCUCCUCAGCGUCAGUAUCGGCCCAGAGAUCCGCCUUCGCCACCGGUGUUCCUCCUGAUAUCUGCGCAUUUCACCGCUACACCAGGAAUUCCGAUCUCCCCUACCGAACUCUAGCCUGCCCGUAUCGAAUGCAGACCCGGAGUUAAGCCCCGGGCUUUCACAUCCGACGCGACAAGCCGCCUACGAGCUCUUUACGCCCAAUAAUUCCGGACAACGCUCGCACCCUACGUAUUACCGCGGCGGCUGGCAC